GCUUUAAAGAGUGGCGUGGUGGUGCACUCGGAGAGCUGAGGCAGGAGGAUUCUUGAGCCCUGGAGUCCUAGGCUGCAGUGUGUUGUGUCCAUCAGGUAUCUGCACUAAAUUGAGCGUCAAUAUGGUGACCUCCCAGGAGGGAGUGGGGGACUACCAGGUUGCCCAAGAGGGGUGAACCAGCCAGUUGGAAAUGAGCAUCUCAAAACAUCAGUGCUGAUCAGUAGCGAGAUUGCACCUGAGAACAGCCACUGUGCUCCAGCCUGGGCAACACAGAGAGACCCCCAUCUCU
rnacentral:SRP_RNA from 1 species